rnacentral:rRNA from 1 species
UAGGGAAUCUUCGGCAAUGGGGGCAACCCUGACCGAGCAACACCGCGUGAGUGAAGAAGGUUUUCGGAUCGUAAAGCUCUGUUGUAAGAGAAGAACGUGUGUGAGAGUGGAAAGUUCACACAGUGACGGUAACUUACCAGAAAGGGACGGCUAAACUACGUGCCUG